GACGAACGCUGGCGGCGUGCUUAACACAUGCAAGUCGAACGGUGAAGGGACCGGUUUUUGCUGGUUCUGGAUGAGUGGCGAACGGGUGAGUAACACGUGAGUAACCUGCCCCCUUCUUCUGGAUAACCGCAUGAAAGUGUGGCUAAUACGGGAUAUUCUGCGCCUGCUGCAUGGUGGGUGUGGGAAAGAUAUUGUUUCGGUGGGGGAUGGGCUCGCGGCCUAUCAGCUUGUUGGUGGGGUGAUGGCCUACCAAGGCGGUGACGGGUAGCCGGCCUGAGAGGGUGGACGGUCACACUGGGACUGAGACACGGCCCAGACUCCUACGGGAGGCAGCAGUGGGGAAUAUUGCACAAUGGGCGCAAGCCUGAUGCAGCGCCGCCGCGUGAGGGAUGGAGGCCUUCGGGUUGUAAACCUCUUUCGCCAGUGAAGCAGGCCUGUCCCUUUUGUGGGUGGGUUGACGGUAGCUGGAUAAGAAGCGCCGGCUAACUACGUG
rnacentral:rRNA from 1 species